UACGGGGGGGCAAGCGUUGUUCGGAAUUCCUGGGCGUAAAGGGCGCGUAGGCGGCCUUCUAAGUCAGACGUGAAAUCCCUCGGCUCAACCGAGGAACUGCGUCUGAUACUGGAAGGCUUGAAUCCGGGAGAGGGAUGUGGAAUUCCAGGUGUAGCGGUGAAAUGCGUAGAUAUCUGGAGGAACACCGGUGGCGAAGGCGGCAUCCUGGACCGGUAUUGACGCUGAGGCGCGAAAGCUAGGGGAGCAAACGGG
rnacentral:rRNA from 1 species